rnacentral:lncRNA from 1 species
UCGAUAAAUGGAUGAGAAGACUGCACGUAAGGAUUUAAAUAAAGGAAAAACUGAUGAUGCAAUGAGUGUUCCCCAAAUAUAUACCACAUCACAACCUUUUAUACACAUCAGUGGUCCGUGUGGUGCGCCAAUACUAGCGCAAAUAGAUUGACAUGGUGGACAGAGCCUAGUUAAGUAGUGAUAGAAUUUUAAGAGCUUCAGGAACUAGAGAGGCAUCUUGAAAUAAACAACUAUGACUUCCAUAGAAUGAUUCUGAUGAGUUCAUCAUCCCUAAAGCUCAUCAGUACUGGUUGAUCCACCGUGAUGUCUGUUCAAAUUAAAGGAUCCAGGUACUGAACAUAGAAUCCUCAAGCGCAAAUGUGUAAACCUUUCAGUUCCAGGGCGGCACCCCGACAGACAAGGAGGAUAAAUUUGUAGUCGAAAUCAAGUUCAAGCGGAGCACAAGCCUGCUGUGGCAGGU